rnacentral:rRNA from 1 species
AGCAGCCGCGGUAAUUCCAGCUCCAAUAGCGUAUAUUAAAGUUGUUGCAGUUAAAAAGCUCGUAGUUGAAUUUCGGGGUUAGUAGGUUGGUCAUGCCUCUGGUAUGUACUGGUCUCACUGAUUCCUCCUUCCUGAUGAACCUUAAUGCCAUUUAUUUGGUGUUUUGGGGAAUUUGGACUGUUACUUUGAAAAAAUUAGAGUGUUUAAAGCAAGCUAACGCUUGAAUACAUUAGCAUGGAAUAAUGAAAUAGGACGUUCGAUCCUAUUUUGUUGGUUUCUAGGAUUGACGUAAUGAUUAAUAGGGAUAGUUGGGGGCAUUGGUAUUCAAUUGUCAGAGGUGAAAUUCUUGGAUUUAUUGAAGACUAACUACUGCGAAAGCAUUUGCCAAGGAUGUUUUCAUUAAUCAAGAACGAAAGUUAGGGGAUCGAAGACGAUCAGAUACCGUCGUAGUCUUAACCAUAAACUAUGCCGACUAGGGAUCGGAUGAUGUUAAUUUUUUAAUGACUCAUUCGGCGCCUUACG